CUCUUUUGUUUGCGCUCUAGGAAAUUAAGGUUUUUGUUGCUACGUCUUCCUUGGUUUUUUACGUUGUGUUAAUGCCGCUGUUUUGGGUACAGUGGGGAGUAGGUACAUGGGUUUAGGAUGCUGCAUUUUUGCCCAUGGCCUUGAUUGAACUCCUUAGUCAUUUAUAACGUGGUUGGGCCGGAAGGCCUGAGAAGAUACGUAGGUACAAUCCUCUUUUAAAAAGACCACAGAAUUAGCCAAUAAUACAUUAUAACCAGUAGUCUUUGAAUGGCCCGUUUAAAUUAAAUUAAACGAAUUCAUUUUUAAAAUAAUAUAAUGAACACCUUCUUUAACUUGACAUGCUAACCAAGAACUAAAAUAUUAUCAAUUAACUUUCAUCAGCUUGUAAGUGGUCCCCAUCUUGUGCCACUGCCUCUCCAUCAGAAGUAACUCCCAUCCUGAAUUUGUGUUUACACAACUAUUAUAUUGCUUUAAUUUCUUUUCACAUUUAUAUAUAUUACUAAGCAAUGUAUUUUUACUUUUCUUAGUUUUGUGUGUAUUUCCAAACUCUCAUCUAGAGGCCUGGGCCUGGUACAUUUUUCUUUACUCAUCUUUAUUGACCGAAGUUACAUUUUGUUCAUUUUCACUGCUACAUAAAAAUCCAUUAUGUACCAUAAUUUAUCCAUUCUCCAGCUGCCAAGUCUUUGUGCAAUUUCCAGUCUUUUGCUCUUUCCAACAGUGUUGGAAAUCAGCAUUGCUUUCUGGUGCCCCUGUGCAAAAAUGUCUCUUGGGUGUAUUUACCUAGGAAUAAAAUUGAUAGGACUUUGGAAUGCCAGUAUUCCACUUUAUAUGAUAGUACCAAAUUUUUAUCCAAAGUGGUUGUACCAGUUUAUACUCCUACCAGCAUCCACAUCUUCUCUAACACCUCAGAUUUCUUGGCUUUUGCUAAUGCAUGGUCUCAAACUGCCCUUAUUGAGGUUAAGCAUCUCUUUUAAAUAUGUAUUGUCCAUCUGUAGUUUCUCUUCUGUGAAAUGUCAGUGUAGGGCAUUUGAGGGAUUUUUAGGGCUGAGCAAGAAAAAAUAUAUGACCAGGAGGUGACAGUAGCACACUCAAGCUUUAUUUGUGUGAGCUUUGACAGGUUUGUAUUUAGGGGAAGUCCUUGGCAGCAUGAGAAGAUCCAGAGAUUGGGGGUGGAGAGGAACCAUCCAAAAGGGGAAAAGAGAAGGAAACUUCCAGAAGAGAGUGGCCUUACCAUGUCCAGGUGAUGUUGUUCAGCGGCCUGUGGGAAGUCUCUGUUUCAGAAAGCUCCCAAGGGCAGCAGCAAAUUGGAGUCUUCAUAAACCACAGAUUUAUCUUAUCUAUGACUAACAGAUGUUGGGCACAGUUUCAUGAGGUAUACAAAGCAGGCAAGCAGCUCUAAAUGCCUAAAAAUCUGCUUAGUUGUGUUAUAUUUAAAAUGCCUGGAUGUAUAAACAUUUGAGUUAGGUGCUGAAAGGCUUUUGAGAUAAUAGAUACCAGCUUGCUGUGAAGAAAUAAACAACUCAGGGACCCAGAUACAGAGGCCAUCUUUGGCUCUUUAUAUAACAGUCAGUUUGAGUCUUUUAUUAUUGUUUUAGUGGAUUGUUUGCUACAUUAUUCACAAACUUAGGGCACUGAUUCUUCAUCAGUUAUAUGUGUUGCAAAUUUAUCCUUCCAUAUGUAUCCUUUCAUUUUCUAUUUUGGUAGAUGUUCUUAACUUUGAAUUUAUUAAUAUUUAUCCUGUUUUUCUUUUCCCCGUACCCUAAUAUUUAUUCACUUACUCUUACUCCUAAAAAUCUUUAAAUCCUUAUUCUCUCUGGAAUUUACUUUUGUAUAUGGUGUGAGGUAGGGAUCCCAUUUUACUUUUUACAUACAAAUGACCUUUAUUUUUCCCCAGGUUUGUUUAUUGACUAGCCCCACCUUUCCCAACUUUCCCACCUUUCCCAACUUUGUUAUAUAUCAACAUUCCAGUUACUUAUGGGUCUAUUUCUGAUCUAUCUAUUCUCUUCCACUGGAAAAUUUGUCUAUCUUGAUGUCAACACCACAUUAUUUAAUUACCACAGCUUUAUAAAAAGUCUUGAUAUUUAGUAGUGCAAAAUCUCCCUUUUAUUCUUCAUCCAUCUUCUUUUUUUGGGCUAUGCUUGGUCUUUAGUUUUCCCAUAUUUUAAGGCAAGCAUCUCAAGUUGCACACACAAACAAGUUGCACACACACACACGCAGCAGUAACAACAACAAAAACCUGUUGGCAUUGCAUUGAAUAAUAAAUAACUAAUAUAUAAAUUUGGAGAGAAUUGACAUUUUAUGAUUCUGAGUCUUCCAUAAGCAAGGGAUAACUUUCUUUUUAUUAGGUCUUCAUUAAUGCUUUAAUUUGGAUUUAUUAUUCUCUUUGUCCAGAUCUUGCACAUCUUUUGGGGAUUUUAUUCCUAGAUUCUUUGUAGUUUUUGUUGCUAUUAUAAGUGAUGUCCUUUAAAAAUAUGCUUUCUAAUUUUUUGAUGAUCAUAUAGAAAUAAAUUUGAUUUUUGUACAUUGAUAUUGUAUCCAGCCACAAUGCUAAACUCUUGUUUGUAGUAAUUUAUUUAUUGAUUCUUUUGGAUUUUGUAUGUAAACAAUCAUUAUCUGAAAAUAAUGCCAGUUUCCCCCUUUCCUACGCCCAACCCUUAUUGCUUUUUAUCUAUCUUAAAGUGUUACACUGGUUUGGCCAGGCUCAGUGGCUCAUGCCUGUAAUCCCAGCACUUUGGGAGGCCAAGGCGGGCAGAUCAUGAGGUCAGGAGAUUGAGACCAUCCUGGCUAACAUGGUGAGACCCUAUCUCUACUAAAAAUACAAAAACUUAGCCGGGCGUGGUGGCGGGUGCCUGUAGUCCCAGCUACUUGGGAGGCUGAGGCAGGAGAAUGGAGUGAACCCGGGAGGCAGAGCUUGCAGUGAGCUGAGAUUGCACCACUGCACUCCAGCCUGGGCGACAGAGCCAGACUCCAUCUCAAAAAAAAAAAAAAAGUGUUACACUGGUUUGGGGGAGAAGGCAGUGCAUUGUUCCAGUACAGUGUUAUUGGAAAUGGUGAUAGUGGGCAUUCUUGAUGCUCUUGAUAUUCGAAAGGGAAACUUAGUAUUAUUUUUGUAUAUUUUAUGAUAAAACAUUUAGAAUGAUAUUUUUGUAGGCGUUUUGUAAAUCUCCUUUAUCAGGUUAAGGAAGGUACCUUUUAUUCCUAGUUGAAUAAAAUUUAAAAAUCUUGAAUGGAUUUGAAUUUAAUUUAUUUCUACAUCUAUUGAAAUCAUCACACAAUUUCUUUCUCCCUUUAAUAUGUUAAUAUGGUAGAUGACAUUUAUAGAUUUUAUAUUAAACUACUUAUCCUUGCAUUCCUAGGAUAAACAACUGGACCAUAAAGUCUCAAUUUUAUAUGCUAUUGUGCUCUAUAUAUUCUAUGUCUAUGUUAUAUUCUAUGUAGGAUUUUUGCGUUUGUGUUUAUGAAAAACAUGGACUUGUGAUAUUCCUUUCUCAUUCUGUCUUGAUCUGUUUGGGUUUCAAGGCUCAUAAAGUGACAUAAGGAGUAUUCCCUUUUUUUGUAUCCUCUGGAAGAAUUUUAAUAAGAUUGGAGUGAUUUUCCUUUCAAGCAUCAGUAGAAUUCACCAGUAAAACUGUCUGGAGCUGGGUGCAGUGGCUUACACCUAUAAUCUCAACUACUUGAGAGGCUCAAGCAGGAGGAUCACUUGAGGCAAGGAAUUCAAGACCAGACUGAGCAACAAGACUCCAUCUCCAAAAAACAAAAACCAAACAAAACAGAACAGAACAGCACAGCAAAACCAUCUCGGCUGGGUAUUUUCCUUGUGUGAAGUUUGUAAAAUACGACUUUGGUUUAUUUAAUAGUUAUGAAACUGUUCAAUUAUUUUCUUUCUCCUUGAGUCAGUUUAAUAAAAUAAUAGGUUCUAGAAUUUUUUCCAUGUCAUCUAAGGGUUUAAGCUCAUUGGCAUAGUUAUUGAUUGUAUUAUCUUCUUAAUCUCUGCUGUAUUUAUAGCUCUUUUUUCAUUUAUAAUAUUACUUGUGGUAGACUGUGUUAUUGCUCUCCAAAUAUUUGUUCCUUUUCUUAUAAGAGGACUAUACAUUUCUACCUAAUGCUAUGUGACUUGAGGUGACUCUUGUGACAGAAGAAUGCAUACCCAACCAGCUGUCAAUGGGCUUGAUCAUCGUACAUGAACAGAAACUUUAAAAGAUAUCGUACAUGUUUCUACCAGCUUUCUUGCUCUUUUCUCUCUUCCAUGAGAAUGGCAUGUGCGUGAUUGGGGACCCCAGAAUGAAGAAUACAUGUGGAGGAGAGCCCAGCAGAGUCAACAUAUAUAGCAAAUAAGAAAUAAACACAGAGAUUUGGGAUUUUGUAGUUACCAAAGCAUAUUAUAGUGAAAACUGACUGAUAAAAAUUAUUUGCCUUUAACUUCUUAUCAUUUUUUCUUAGAUAAAUCAUUGCAGAGGUUUAUUUAUUUUGUUGGUAUUUUUCAAAGAACCAACUUUGUCCUUGUUGAUUCUCCCUGUUUUCUAUUUCGUUUCUAUCUCUAGUUCUGCUCUUAUAAUUAUCCCC
rnacentral:lncRNA from 10 species